rnacentral:tRNA from 1 species
GCCCCCAUAGCUCAACCGGAUAGAGCAGCGGUCUUCUAAACCGCAGGUUGCUGGUUCGAUUCCAGCUGGGGGUG